rnacentral:lncRNA from 1 species
UUCGGAGGUCAGAGCUCGGCGGGGUGCGGCUAGUGGCGGAGCGCGCUGCGAGGGAGGGCUUUCCACUGUCGCUGGCGUGAACUCGCGUGCCCGGCUUCACCAGGUACUGCCUUCUAACUUGAGUUGGCCAUUUCCACAUGUCAGAUAGGACCAACUUGCCUUUUAACUACCCGUGUGAUACUUAAACACUGUUGCCGGUAUCACAGCUUUUCUUCAAAACAGGAUCUUGCUCUGUCACCCAGGCUGGAGUACAGUAGCACCAUCGCUGCUCACUGUAGCCUCGACCUGCUGGGCUCAAGUGAUCCUCCCAUCUCAGCCUCCUGAGUAGGGGACUACAGACAGGCACCACCAUGAUCCGGUAUCACCAGUCUGUGGGUACAAAAGGAGAGUAACAUGAACGAUUCAAAUUCCACUGGCUCUUGUUCCCAUGGAUUCACAGAAGUUCAGCCCCAUUUCAAAACUCCACAUUUGCUUCUGGGAAGCCCAUUCUGGAAAGUUUCUCUGUGGCCCUCUCCAGAAGGCAGCGCGACUUCCACCCAGCAACACAAGUCUCUGCAGCACCUGCCCCAGCAGCGCCAGCUGAG